UACGUAGGGGGCAAGCGUUGUCCGGAUUUAUUGGGCGUAAAGAGCUCGUAGGCGGUUUGUCGCGUCGGCCGUGAAAACUUGGGGCUUAACCCCAAGCCUGCGGUCGAUACGGGCAGACUUGAGUUCGGCAGGGGAGACUGGAAUUCCUGGUGUAGCGGUGAAAUGCGCAGAUAUCAGGAGGAACACCGGUGGCGAAGGCGGGUCUCUGGGCCGAUACUGACGCUGACAGCGCGAAAGCUAGGGGAGCGAAACGGG
rnacentral:rRNA from 1 species